ensembl:lncRNA
AGCACCUGGUGGGAAGGCAGGGCCAACCCAGGAGAGCUCAGGUGUAAGGAAUACAGCUGAGGGACCAGAACGGGUGGAGCCAGGAUGCACUCCUUCCCAGACCUCAUUUAAGGGUUGGCAGUGAAGGUAAGAGUAUCUUGCUAGAGAUCCCUGUGUACCUGUGGCCUUUUGAUGACAAGUGUCCAGAACAGCUGCAUACCCCAGGGGGCUUUGUGUUCAGAGAGGAGAUAUAACUUCUGGUAACAUCACCUGAUGUCCCUUUUUUCCUUCAGCUCUCCUCCCUGCUGCUCGACCCAACUGCGUGUCUCACUUCAAAAUUAUGACUUGAGAUCUGGAUCCUGUUCCCAGCUUUGGUGUUGCAAUUUCCUGUUCCACCCAUUCCUUCCAAUAUGCAGGGCUAUUGGAAAAACACUUCAGACAGAAAUAUUUUAUCUUGCAUCUGGCUCAGCUGCACAAAGAUUCACAAGAGUAACAGGACUUUUGCAUAAUGAAAUGGAUGGGGAAAGCCAGGUGCCGGGAAGAAGGAUGCGAAGAUCUGAAGGUGAAUAUUCUGCUGGUGGUGACACUGAACUUAAAGCAAGGAGACUGGCUAAUGGAAAUGAUUAUGGAAGUGGAAGUGACAGCUGCUGAAGUGGAAGGGAAAACUGAAGAUUUAAAGUGCCGAAAAUAUAAAUAAAAAUGGAACAUAUUUAAUGCAGAAGAAGAGAAGAGAAGAGAAGAGAAGAGAAGAGAAGAGAAGAGAAGAGAAGAGAAGAGAAGAGAGGGAUCUCAGCGAUGUGUGAAGUGAUGGUGACCCUACCAGUGAAGAGUCCUUGAACUCACAUUCCAUCUAUUGUGCUUUUUCAGGAGAAGCUUCAUUCAAUAUUAAACAGGAGUGCCAUUUUCAGAGAGAAAACUAAGUUGAAGAGUAAAGCCUCCACUAUUUAUGCUAAAGGGACGGACAGUCACAUCUAAUGAAUUAGUUACAUAACCUGUGUCACAGACUUAUUUUCUGGUGACUCCUUUCAGUGGCGAUCUGUAUGAAUCCUUCUUUGUUUUCUGGCUCAAAACUUGCUUCCUGAAGUAUUUCUUGUGAUAAGACUCUAGGAGAUGAGAGGUGGGUGCUGCCGUGUGGCAAUCAGCAUCACUGUCUGGACAAUUUACAUUUCAGAGCAUUUCUUUGGAGCUGUUAGCCUUUGACCCAAGAGUUAAUGGAGUGCUCAGGACUGUUUACUGGACUGUUUACUGGACAUUUUACUGGCAGAAGAUCUGUCCUGUGACAAGUACUCCUGUCUGCUAUGGGAGACUGGGAGAUGAUACCAUCGUAUCUUGUGAAGACAAGACUAGUUGGCUUCUCCAUACUAGUUGGCUUCUCCAUACUCCCUCUUAUUUGCUGGCAAGGCCAGGAAGAUAGGAACAAAAGGAAUUCCUGCUGAGAUCCAAAAGCCAGAAACUGUCAUUCCAAAAGGCUGACUCAACCACUUUGGACUGGUAAGUUUGUGCUGCCAUCGCAAUGUUCAUUGUCAUCAUUGCGAUGAUCACCGUCCUCAUCAACGGAACAAUGCCCAACGGCCCACCUCUACUGAAGAGCAACGACUGAGCCAUGAACCACGCUGGACCCAUGGUGGUGACUGUCUCCCUCUUGUCUCCUAUAGAAACUCCUUGCUUCAAUUUCCUAUCUUUUCUAUUGCUCGCCUUCCCUUCCCCAUUACCCCAAUUCAUAAUAGUGUCCGUCCUUCCCUUCUUCAUCUCAUUAACAUUUGUAAUAAACUGGUUGGA